GAUUAUGAGAAUAAAAUUUGCAUACUAAAUUAUGAAAAGAGUCGGUCUACUUAAACAAGAAAUUCUACCCCAAGAACCGGUUUAACAGUCUUAUCGUAAGACAAAGUAAUAUUUAAGUUUGUUUGCGAUCUCUGUUUUUUUUUAUGGAAGAGGGUAUCAAAAACGGAAAGAAACCGGGUUACAAUUUAGUUUCUUGCGUGACUAAGCAUGCAUGGAAUGUUACAAGCUGGCGGUUUUCCCUAUUUAGCCGCUAAACACGAGUGAGCACACUUAGAAUAAUUUCCGGCGAAAGCAACCAAAGAACGUGGGUUUGAAUUUCGUGUCUCGUUUGGCGAAGGGCGAACGGACCAAGUUUCUACUUCGUAUAUAAAUAGUUAAGUAACUAAAGAACAACUAGCGAUACAUGAUCUCUUAUUUGCUGGCUUAUGACAUAGGACAUGUUUAGCUUUUGAACAUUCCUUUAUUCUGCCGAGCCGGCUGACAUACUGAUACCUUGGUCCCAGACCCUCGUGCGUCUCUCUAUUCAGUGGCCUGGCCACUAAAUAGAGAGACGCACGAGGCUCUGGAACCAGGGUAACAUACUGACGUAAAAGACGUACAUUUAAGCACGACUGUCACAACAAGGAAGCUAUAUACAGGACAGUUGAAAAUAGAAGAGAACAGAUAAAGACUGAGUUCGCCCCGCCAGUCCUUCAAAGUCUGUAAGCCACAGCUGGCAAGGCACAACACAAUACAACGAAUUUUCCAUUACGCAGACGUUAAUGCGCCUCGCCAUUACGAUUUCAAAAGGUUUGUUUGUGCUGAUUCCACCUGAGGACCCUUCCGUAAUCCCUGAAUUCAACCCAGGUAAAGGAAAACUAAGUUUAAAAUACCUGAUCUGACGAUUAUGAUAAGUUUUGGGUGUUGCGCUUGAGCUUCGAGUUCCGGGAACUGCACUUCGCAUUAUGCAAAAUUUGUGACGUCACAUUCUUUUGUCUUCGCGCCCAAGCUCCCUGGCGUUUCAGCGGAAAUAGAGACCGUUGCGCACACGUGACCAAAGGCCUUGAUAACGGUUGUUGCUUAUGGACGAAAUCGAUUGUGCUAAUAAAACCACAGGUAGCCCAGGCAAUGGUUGCUUGUUCGUAGCUCGGAAUUCGGCUGUUCUGAGAGGGGGCGAGUAAAGCGUUUUUUUGUGUGAAAUGUUGUCAAUAAAAUUGCCUUAGAACUUAAAACAUGCCUUGUGGUUGUCAAAUUCACGUGUAAUACACGGUUUAGGGGGGGGGGGGGGUGUUCUUAACGGGAUUUAUAACUUCUCUCCCCCUACUAAGGAAAGAAACAAGGUUGGAGGCGCCAUUUUCGGUAGCGCUCAAAUGUCGUCUAUGCCAGGGUACACUUACAUUCGAUAUGUGGCAACACAUCCGAGCUAAACUAUUUUCCCUGGCCGCUAGCCGUAUUUUAAAACGAGAAAGUAGCCACAAGCAUCCUUGACCGACGCCGUUGUACGAUUAGUUACGCUUGACCGCGCUGGGAAGGAGCACAGGUAGCCCAGGCAAUGGUUGCUUGCUCGUAGCUCGCGUUUUUUGUAGAAUGUUGUCAAAAAAAAUAAGGCAUGUUCUAAGUUUUAAGCUUGGUAUAGCAUAAUUUUACUAUAAAUAGGGACAUUUUAGGUGGACAAUUAAGUCUAGGAAUUAUAUUUAAUUAGGUUUAGAAUAUGAAAUUUGAAUUUAGCGCUCAGAGAAAUUGUCCUGACAUGUUGACUCAUUGACGGCUGAUUGAUAACUGAAUAACUAGGCUUUACCGGAAGUUGAACACCGGAAGUAUAUAUACGAUCUAAGGAUAGCUGUUUUGCUAAAGCACAGAAAGACCACAAAAAGUUUACGGAUGAUCAAUCCGACCAUUUGACGAUCGAGUGACAUAGAAGUCCAUCCAAUAACUCGUAAAUGCUUUGUAAGAUUUCACAAGUUAAAAA